rfam:Rattus norvegicus chromosome 9, whole genome shotgun sequence.
GGGGAUUUAGCUCAGUGGUAGAGCACUUGCCUAGCAAGUGCAAGGCCCUGGGUUCAAUCCCCAGCUCCG